UUAGGUUGGAGGUGGCAUUGAAGCUUUUACCAGGAAGUCAACUGGUGAAAGGUUGAGGGUACCUCAUACAGGUCUCCACCCACCAAGGGACCACCAGAAAUGCCCAAACACUGAAAGGUUAAGGAGUGGGUUCCAAGACGACACUGAGGAGGAGAGAUAGGAGAUCAUCUUGUGAUGUUUGAGAAUUUGUAAUGAAGACUUAGAGGAGGAUAGAGUCUUACUACUGUUGAGUAAUCACACCCUGAAAGCAUUGAGUGGGGAGCUAUUGUACAAAGCCUCCUGGCUUUAUGCUGUUUCCCAACUCCCCAUUUUGUGGCACUACUAUUACUGGCAUAAUUGCAUCCUCAGACCACCUAGAGAUGUGCCCUUGUUGCAAAAUCCAUUAGAACAUCACAACACUCUGCCCCUGGGACAAGGACAGAGGAUUCCAGCAAGGCUU